GUAGAUUUGAAGAGGCGUCACUACUUGUCAUAAGGCUAUUUUGCCUCCUCCACUAACAAGCCACAAUCCCACCUGCAUGUGCUGAAACAUGCUGACCAGAAACAAGUCAGUUGCAAACAAGUUUUAUUAGUCAAAUUAGUACAUUUCGCUACUGUUCUUAAAAGUGCAUCUUUUAAACGUUCUGGGAUAGAUGAAUUUUUGCAUCAUUUAAAAAUGAUUCACUCACAUCUCGGAAGACUGACGUGGACAUCCAACAAUGACUCCUCAAAGUGCUUCAUCUACAGCUCAGAAAUUAAAGUUAGAAAGAAACUUAAAGUGGCUGCUGCUCAACAUGUAACUGAGCAGAUUUCCUCAUCUGUCAAGAGUGAGAGCGAGUGGAACUCAGAGGAGACUGUCGCCAGCAGCAGCAUUAGUGUGCUUUCAUUAUGCUGCAGUUGCUGCAAACCCCAGAGAAACAGAGAAACCCAUCAAAAUGACCCUGACCCCUGUGAAUUAGAUCACCAAGAAGACACAGCUGGAGAGGGUGGACAUUGAGCCUGACAUAUCUGCAGUGUUUAUGAAGUUUACUUGGAUAUAUAUUUAGAAAUUAUGUUAGGAGCCACAGUUGUACAUUUUUUACCUUGACAACUACAGAUGUUUUGUACAAACCCGAUUCCAAAAAAGUUGGGACACUGUACAAAUUGUGAAUAAAAACAGAAUGCAAUGAUGUGGAAGUUUCA
ensembl:lncRNA